CUGACUUUUUCCAGGAGCCAGACUGGUCAGCAAUGCCCAGAGAAGAAAGGGCUCUGCAGCUCUGGGAAAACAGUGGGGAGCUUCAAUGGUGUGCUGUAAAGGCCCAUGUCAUGGAUCAAAGCCAGAUUCCCCCACACUCCCAAAUCUAUGCUUCUGCCUGCCUCCCUGGUGAUUUCCUUACAAGGCUCCAUGCUGCUGGCAUGACCCUACAUAAAUUCAGCCCUAGACUCUGUUAGAGAAUGGAGAAAUGUGAACCUGAAUCUAAAAAUGAAAGCCCAGAAGAAAGCCUAACUGCUCAUGGGAAUGGAACAGCCUGCGAAGCACUGUCUUCCCUGUGAAGAAAUAGGAUCACAAGACUGUUGUAUUAUUUUUUACAUUAACAAUUAUAGAAUUAAAAUAAACUUUCUGUUCUGUUAUUUGAAG
rnacentral:lncRNA from 1 species